rnacentral:rRNA from 1 species
UACAGAGGUCCCAAGCGUUGUUCGGAUUCACUGGGCGUAAAGGGUGCGUAGGUGGUCGGGUAAGUCUGAUGUGAAAUCUCUGGGCUCAACCCAGAAAUGGCAUUGGAUACUAUCGGCUAGAGGAGUGGAGGGGGACUGGAAUACUUGGUGUAGCAGUGAAAUGCGUAGAUAUCAAGUGGAACACCAGUGGCGAAGGCGAGUCCCUGGACACUUCCUGACACUGAGGCACGAAAGCUAGGGGAGCAAACAGG